rnacentral:rRNA from 1 species
AACGAACGCUGGCGGCGGGGGCUUAGGCAUGCAAGUCGAGCGAGAAAGGCGCAAGCUGAGUACAGCGGCGUAAGGGUGAGUAAUGGGUAGCUGACCUACCCUCGUGACGCGGAUAAUUCCUCGAAAGGGGUUGUAAUACGCGAUGAGACCACGGUGCUUUCGGGCGCUGAGGUCAAAGGCCGGGGGAUCCUUCGGGACCCGACGCACGAGGAGGGGGCGACCUCUGAUUAGCUAGUUGGCGGGGUAACGGCCCACCAAGGCGAUGAUCAGUAGCCGGGCUGAGAGGCUGUCCGGCCACACGGGCACUGAGACACUGGCCCGACUCCUACGGGAGGCUGCAGUCGCGAAUUUUUCACAAUGGGCGCAAGCCUGAUGAAGCCACGCCGUGUGCGGGAUGAAAGGCCCUCUGGGUUGUAAAACCGCCGUCAGGGGAGGGAAAGUGUCAGGUGUUAACAGCAUCUGGCUUGAUUGCUCUCCAAAAGG